GUUUCUCGGAGGGUGCUCACCUCCCUGGUGUGUGUCCGUGUGUCCGGACGCUUCUCUCUCCGUCUGCUUGUGCUGUGUGCCCCUGGGUCCCAUUUGUGCGCCUGUGUGGGGUGAUGUCCGCUGGCUUGUAGGUGGCUGGCUGCGGGUUUUGGCGUAUUUCUGAACACUUGACCCGGGUUUUGCGGGCCUUUGAGGAGAUGUGUCUCCGGUGCGUGUUCAGUGUAACUGGGCUUGUGUGCCAAAACCUGUGGAGCUGGCUUCUUUGUAUGGGGAUUCAGGAAAAUAAGUGUGACGCUUGCAAAAGCGGUACCGUCUCUCUCUUUUUGUUGGCAGCCGACUCUGGAAAAAAAAAAAAUCUUCAUUUAAAGAACUGAAGUUUUCCAGCCUGGGAUGUGCAGAGAAAUUAUACUGAAGUGACCCGAGGCUCCAUGUUUGUGUUUUUUAGACCAGAAGUUUUGUUGCAAAGGGAGGGGAUACUUCCAUUUGAGGGAACAACCUAGCCUUUCUAUUCAUACAUGGGUAUCUGGGAUUUUUAAGAGGCCCACCAUUACCAGCACCCUGAGGUGAGGAAGGAAAGUGAAGCAGAGGUAGGUGAGAUCCCAUAAUGCUAAAUACUACCAGAUGAAAAUCUCUAGAAAAAACACAUACAAUGUUUUUAAAUCUUGUUGGCUUACGUAUUCAGGGAAAUAGUCCGUGCAGUGCAAUUCCAGUGCAGAAAUAUAUAUAUAUAUAUAUAUAGCCUCUAGGUAUUCGUAUAAUUGAAAUUGAUUUGUGUUCAAAAUCCAAAUCCAGAAUCUGGUAGUGUUUUUUUUCUGCAGGAUCUGGAUACAUUUAUUCCACCCUCUUGUUUCUGUUUAAAAGGGCAGGGUGAUUUCUUUGUAACCUCCCUCACUUCUUUGCAAGACCCCAGCACGGAGCUCCUUAUGCAGUCCUGCUAUGGAAGGACCAGGAGUAGAUGGGAGACAAGGCUGUGAUAAUGGAAUUUGAGAGAAUUCUCUUCUCAAGAUUGGCACUGUAAUACGUAUCACUUUCGUGGUUUGCGGGUUCCCAGAGUGCCUUCCUGUUCCUCCAUUACUGGCACUUUGGAGAUGGCAUGCCGGAGGUAGAGGAAUUAGUCUCCUGGAUUACACUUGCUCCAUCCUUAAUGACCAAGAAGGAUGCUAAUGAUUUUUCUUGUUAGCUAAUUAAUUUGUAUUGACCUACCCAUACUCUCUCACCAGCCCCCUUGCCUGGAUUGGGAUUGCAGGGCCCAUGAUGUUGCGAGGGGGAACAUUCCAGAAGGCUGAGUUUCACCUCAGGCAACCCAGAGAACCCCUUUGUUUUUCAAAUGGGAGUGGGUGUGGGUGGUUUAGGGCUGCUUGGUUUGCUUUGCUUGGUUCCAGUUUGCUCUAGCUGGCCUUGCCACACUGUUUGAUGAAGCACAUAAUUGUAUGCCGGAUUCUGAAGCUGAAAGAGCAGCCCAGUACUUGAGACCUUGUUAUCGUGAUAAAUGGGUUUCUGGGAAAACUGACUUCACUCUCCAUGCCCUCCUCCCUGAGCCAGUGAAGCUCUUAUUUACGUAUCAUUUGUCUCUCUGCUUCCCUUUGUGUCUGCAAGAAGUUGUAAUUCAUGGGGUGGGGGGGGGAGAUGGAAUUAACUUGGGAGACCUUGAAUGUCUGGUUGCUGAUUGUUCCAGGGUUUGGGAAGAGAAGACUGGAGACUAAGCCGAAGUGUGCCUAGCUUAAGAGUUCUUUUUUAAUGAGAUCUGAGACAUGAUGCCAUGCAAGUAGUGCUCUGAAAUAUGUGUGAAGGGUGGGGUAUUCUUUCCAGAGGCAGGUGAAGGUCAGUCUGGCUUGUGAGGUACCAUCAUUAGUGAUGAACAUAAGCCUUAGAGUUGCUGGGUAGGCCUUAUUUGGGCAUGCGUGCAACUUGGAAGCUCAGCUUUUGUGUAUGUAAUACAACCCCAUCCACUCUGAAUGAACAUCACAAAGUUCUGUGUGACAAAACUCUUUCUUUCUUUUCUUUUUUAGGGCCGUACCCAUGGCAUAUGGAGCUUCCCAGACUAGGGGUCAAAUCGGAGCUGUAGCCACUGGCCUACGCCACAGCCAUAGCAACGCAGGAUCCGAGCCACGUCUGCAACCUACACCACAGCUCAGGGCAAUGCUGGAUCCUUAACCCACUGAGGGAGGUCAGGGUUUGAACCUGCAUCCUCAUAGAUACUAGUUAGAUUCAUUGAGUCUUGACAGGAACUCCCCAAACUCUUUCUUCAUUAUGUACACAAGUGUUUAUUUCAUUGGCUGAUAAGUGUCCAGCACUAUGACUAGCCCUGGUCCACUAUAGCAGAGAAAGUACUAAACAUAGUUUCUGGCUUUUAAGCUUAUUACGGUCUGGUUGGAGAGUCAAAUUGUGGACACGGUGAGAUAAUUAGAGAACUGUAAAGGAUUCUUGGGAUGUUCCCAUCUCCAACCCCUGUCUGAGAGAUGGCUUGGGCUGCUAUUAAUAUACACUCUGAGAGAUUCCAUGCCUUGUCCACGGCACAGUGCCGACCCCAGAGGCUGCAGCGCUUGGCUCUUGCAUUGAAUUCUUUCUUUCAGUGUUGCAUUUUGGGGUCCAGACUACAUGCUGGCCCCUAGGAAGAAGGGCUCAUUGAUUCUGAUUUGAGCCAGUCCCGCAACGUGAACAGUGAUGCUUUCCUCCAGUGGCAGCCAGAUAAUCUCCAAAGAACGCUCCCAAGGCCAGACACUACCCUGGCUGGGGUGUCCCAGAGCAACUACCUACAGGUGGCUGCACUGUGGUCUUGGUAUCAAAUGGCACGUACCCUUGAUUCCCCUUGAAGUGCCCUGCCUCAGCCAUGUCCACUACCUUGCACGAAAAGCCAUAUCAUACCCCCAGCAGGGAGAGGAAAACCCCAUAUUCACCUGUACCUCUACUGGGAAUACUGCAGAAAAUUUGCAUGGCCUCACAUAUUAAAAAUUCUUGAAUCUAAGUUGAGGGUAUAUGCAUGCAUGACCAUUGUACUAUUUUCCAACUCCUCUGUGGCUUUUCAAAAUAAAAAAUUGGGGGAGUUCCCAUCUUGGGUUAGUGGUAACGAACGUGACUAUUAUCCGUGAGGAUGCAGGUUUGAUCCCUGGCCCGGCUCAUUGGGUUAAGGGUCCGGCGUGGUGCAGGUCACAGAUGCUACUCGGAUCCCAGGUUGCUGUGGCUGUGGCUCAGGCCGGCACCUGCAGCUCUGAUUGGACCCCUAGCCUGGGAACCUCCAUAUGCUGUGGGGUCGGCCCUAAAAAGACACACACACACACACACACACACACACAAUAAGCUAGGCUUAAAAAAAAAUGGGGGGGCGAAAUGACGAUGCCCACCCUCCCCUCUCCUACCAAUGCACACAGCUCCUGCUCUCAGGGAGUUUACAAUCUAGUAGUGGAGGCAGACACAAAUAACUGUAUAAUUAUCCUGGUGAUAAGCGCUCCAUCGGAGAGCUAUUGCCUGCUAGGAGAAUUCAUUCCAAAGGGACCUAAUCCAGAAGUAGGUUGGGACAAUGGGUGAUAGGAAGGCUUCCUGAGGGCUUCAAGUAGGAAAAGGGUAGGUGUGAAGAUGGGUGAGAUCUCACUUCUGCUCCUGGGCUGGGAACAUUUCCUUUGUUAAUUCACGCAACUUUUAUUUUCAUUCAUUCCCUUCAACAUGUGUUUAUUGGGCACCGACUCUGCCAGGCCUCGUGCCAGGCGCUGGGGCCAGAGUGGUGGCCAAGGCACACGCCUCUCAGCCCUCUCAGAGCUUUGCAGAUAAGAGGCCGGAAUAAGCUCCGCUUCCUCUUCAUAGCCUAAAUCCUGAAAACGUGUGUCUUCGCCGUGCUCUUAUUACCAAACUGCAUCACAGCCGAGCGAUUUGUCUGUAUAGUAUAAUGAGAUUUUGAUCUGCAGUCAUGUGCACAGCAGUUACUUUGUAGAGUCUCUGCUGUGAAUUUUCCAUUAAUUGCUGGCUUUGUUACCCAGUACGGCCCCUCCCUUUGUGUGCUCUAGGAGCGAACCGGUUGCUUUAGCCCAAGCAAAACUAAUUAGGAAGAUAAGUCCCCUGGAAAAAGGUAUUCCACAACUAAAUAGGACUGAUUUCUGGACUUGCUGUCUGGAUUAUCAGAGCCUUGGUUUCAUAUUAACACGAACAACUGAGGAGCGCUUUCAGCUGCACAUAUAUUAAAACCACAUUCGAGAAAGAGAGAAAAGGAAAGAAAGCAACAGCGUACCAUGGAUAAGUGUAACAUGUCUCUUUCAAGGAUCUCAAAACACUUCCAUCUGUAUGAUUUCAUUUUCCCCAAGAGCUUCCUGGACAAGUGCUCUUCAUUUUAUGGGUUCAAAGAAACCAAGUGAUUCCGUCCAAAGUGUUAUUGCUGGUCAGUGGCUGAAGCGAUGAAACACAUACCAGAUGACACAGAUUCAUUAAAAAAAAAAAAAAAAAAAAAAACACCUCUGGCCUGCUCAUCACAUUUUCAAGAAAUAAAAAUCCUACCAUGUCCCUUCUUCUCUUCCUUUUCACGGCACCGCCGCCCCCCUAUCCCCACCGGUUCGCUCAUGGAGGUCCAGAAGCAUAGACUUCGGUGCAUUGAAGACUCUGAUGUUAAAAAGAGUCUCAGCUGAAAUCCCAGAUAGCACAGUCAUGGCCAUGUGUGGGCUUUCUUUUUUUUUGCCCCAUAUAUCUUUAAAUAAAAAUCUUGGAGCCACCAGCCAUGUAAUGAUGGAUUAUUUUAAGUAACAACUGGAGGGGAGGGGGCCUCGCGGAAUAAAUUAGAAACACAGACCCUUCCUCCUGGGUUUGGCAGGAGGAGGCUUCUGCUGCGGGGAUUUGAAACCGUGGGUUUCUCUGCUGCCUGCACAGAGGAAGGAGGCCACAUGCUCGGGAGAGGGAGAAAUAACGUUACCGGCUUCUGCAGUGUCUUCUCAUUAGAGGCAGCCAUCUGCUGAAUUAUGCAGCGCGCUCUCCGCUGGCCUUGGAGUGGGGUCAUCCUUUGCAGUCACUUAAAGGUGGCUGGGAGAAGCUUUGCAGGCCUCCUCGGGGACAGGACGCAGGGCUCAGGUUUCUCCUUCCAGGGCCCUCUCUGACCCCUAACAACGGCGCUGGGGUAACAGGAGCAGAACCCUGCUUUCGCGGCCCUGAUGAGGUGCGAGGUAGCGCUGGGUUUUCUUUCACAGCAGAGGGCCCCAGCUCUGAGCCCUGACGAGGAGGCAGGAACCAGGUUUUUUCAGAUCCCCUUUAAAUGAGACCAGACGGAGGCAGAGGCAAAUUCAGGCUCCCCAGAGGACAGUUGGGCAUUCAUCCAGAGGCUUGUGAGUAAACCUUUUUUCUCUUUGUUGGAUUGGAGAUAACAAUGGCCAGAACACCUCGGAAACUCUGUUUAAAUUGCCAGACUUGAAGGGAGCCUUGUCUGGCUUUUGUGGGAAAGUUGACCCACCCUGAGCAGGGGUCACCUCUGGCCUGAGGUAGAGAUAUUUUACCCAGAAUCUGGCUGGUGGGGUUUGGUAGCCCUGGGGCUCCUGAGCAGAGGCCAGGGUGAGGCUUGGGCCCAAGUCAGGAGAGAGGGAAAUGAGAGCUAGACGCGGGGAAGAGGAUGCAGAAGAGGGGCCUCCAUCGCCUCAGUGGCCCGCUGUGGGUCAGGGCCACCUUGGUGAGGCCACGGGCUUCUGGGUCGUGUUCCAUGACCCUUUACUGACCCCCUCCCCAAACUAGCGUCAGCCACAAGCCCAAUGUCCCAGCAUUCUAGCAGCAGAAAGAUGUGGGUCAGCUUUUCCAUUUGAGAGUGGCAGGGCCCUGGAUCCUAGCACCUCUCUCUGUCACUAAAUCGCUCUGUGACUCGGGACAAGUCACUUCCUCCCUCUGAGUCUCUGUUUCCCCUUUUGUAAAAUGAGCGGUUGGAUUAAGUGAUCUUUAAGGGCGUUUCCAGCUCUAUCAUUGGACGGUUCUUGUGUUUCCUUAUCCUCCAGCCUAAUUUCUAUUAGGUCCUUGCCUGCUUCUGCUUCUGAAUGAGGUGGCAGCAUUUAGCUCCACCCCUUCGCUGCUUUGACUCCGGGAGCUGGGUGGGGAGAGGGUUGUAGAGAAAGCAAGCCUGUGCUUUUAGCGCAGCAGGGUCUCUGGAACUGGAAGAGAAAGAAUCAACCCUUCAGAUAUUGUCUGUCCAUCCCCGUAGGUGUAUAUAGCUAUUGUCUUCCUAUAAAGGUACAUGACAGCCGAAUUGUUGUUUACUGAAUCCCCUUUUAAAUGCACUAGGAGAGCUGGCUACUUAAUAGAAUCCUGCUGUGAAGCCUUUUACAGAAUGAAAAGCCACUCUGGAAUUGAUCUGGUGUAUUCCAAUCCAGAGUUCCAGCUCUUGGAUUUGCCAGAAAUGGGCCUUCUCCCUGGAUGACGAGGAUGAUUGCCUCUGUGGCUCCCCAGGAUCUCCAAAGCUGCUCCCCCACUGAAAGGCACUGGGGCCUCCAAGGGGUGCUGCUCCCUUUUGCAGGCUUUAUUUCUCCUUGGAAAGGCCCUCAGAUUUCUCUCUCCCAGUUCAGGGCAUUGCUACUACUGUUGGUUUCCUCUUAGCCCGGCUUAAUCGGCUCGAGGGAAAUCCUGACAUUUGAUGUAUUAGGCAUAUUGGAGUUUUGGGUUUUUUUUUUUUAACCUCUGGGAACUUAUCAGUGCUUUUGUGGUUCUUAUGGAUGAUAAUACAGGGUAGUAAGUGGCAGUCACUCCCUUGACAACACUGGAGGCAGCAGAUAGGGCUCUGCACCGAACUGUUUCAUCAAGACUUUUGGCUGCAUGUUUUAGGAGAUGUGAUUUGACUUUGACUUCUGGUUCAUAUGAAUCUUUAUAAUAAGAAGGUAUACUGUAGGGAGUUCCCGUUGUGGCUUAGCGGUAAGGACCUGGCUAGUGUACAUGAGGAAGGGGGGUCGAUCCCUGGCCUCCGAUGUUAAUUAUCUGGCGUUGCCGUGAGCUCUGGUGUAGGUCCCAGAUGCGGCCCGGAAAUGGCAUUGCUGUGGCUGUGGCGUAGGCCAGCAGCUGUAGCUCCAAUUCGACCCUUAGCCUGGGAACCUCCAUAUGCCACGUGUGCGGCCCUAAAAGGCAAAAAAAAAAAAAA
ensembl:lncRNA